rnacentral:rRNA from 1 species
CGAGUGGCGGACGGGUGAGUAAUGUCUGGGAAACUGCCUGAUGGAGGGGGAUAACUACUGGAAACGGUAGCUAAUACCGCAUAACGUCGCAAGACCAAAGAGGGGGACCUUCGGGCCUCUUGCCAUCGGAUGUGCCCAGAUGGGAUUAGCUAGUAGGUGGGGUAACGGCUCACCUAGGCGACGAUCCCUAGCUGGUCUGAGAGGAUGA